rnacentral:rRNA from 1 species
UACGUAGGGGGCAAGCGUUGUCCGGAUUCAUUGGGCGUAAAGAGCGUGUAGGCGGCCAGGUAGGUCGGUUGUGAAAACUGGAGGCUCAACCUUCAGACGUCGACCGAAACCAUCUGGCUAGAGUCCGGGAGAGGAGAGUGGAAUUCCUGGUGUAGCGGUGGAAUGCGCAGAUAUCAGGAGGAACACCGAUGGCGAAGGCAGGUCUCUGGGCCUGCACUGACGCUCAUGCACGAAAGCGUGGGGAGCAAACAGG